rnacentral:rRNA from 1 species
AACGGACGAGAAGCUUGCUUCUCUGAUGUUAGCGGCGGACGGGUGAGUAACACGUGGAUAACCUACCUAUAAGACUGGGAUAACUUCGGGAAACCGGAGCUAAUACCGGAUAAUAUUUUGAACCGCAUGGUUCAAAAGUAAAAGACGGUCUUGCUGUCACUUAUAGAUGGAUCCGCGCUGCAUUAGCUAGUUGGUAAGGUAACGGCUUACCAAGGCAACGAUGCAUAGCCGACCUGAGAGGGUGAUCGGCCACACUGGAACUGAGACACGGUCCAGACUCCUACGGGAGGCAGCAGUAGGGAAUCUUCCGCAAUGGGCGAAAGCCUGACGGGGCAACGCCGCGUGAGUGAUGAAGGUCUUCGGAUCGUAAAACUCUGUUAUUAGGGAAGAACAUAUGUGUAAGUAACUGUGCACAUCUUGACGGUACCUAAUCAGAAAGCCACGGCUAACUACGUGCCAGCAGCCGCGGUAAUACGUAGGUGGCAAGCGUUAUCCGGAAUUAUUGGGCGUAAAGCGCGCGUAGGCGGUUUUUUAAGUCUGAUGUGAAAGCCCACGGCUCAACCGUGGAGGGUCAUUGGAAACUGGAAAACUUGAGUGCAGAAGAGGAAAGUGGAAUUCCAUGUGUAGCGGUGAAAUGCGCAGAGAUAUGGAGGAACACCAGUGGCGAAGGCGACUUUCUGGUCUGUAACUGACGCUGAUGUGCGAAAG